rnacentral:tRNA from 1 species
UCCCUGGUGGCUCAGUGGUAAAGAAUCUACCUGCAAUGCAGGAGACCCAGGUUCGAUUCUUGGGUUGGGAA